CUCCUAUCCUUUACUCUUUCCACUGCUCCAUUUCCUAAACCCUAGAAUUCCUCUAGACCAUCUCUGUAAAUCUUUUCUUUGUUCAAGUAGAAGGGGUUUUUGAAUCUGAUGGAGUAUUUCAAUCUUCUACCCGAAGAGAUUACACUUGACAUUAUCAGUCGAGUCCCAGCCGAAUCGGUCCUGGAAUGCAAAUUAGUUUGCACAAAUUGGAGAUGUCUUGUUCAUGAUCCAUCGUUCUCCAAGAUGCAUCUAGAUCAUCUGAAUCAUCCGGUGGCUGAUUCUGGUAAGUUAGAUUUCAUUGCUUUUGCUUCUUCUGAUUGGUGGACGAAUUACAAUUUUCUGUAUUUUAAAUAUGAUGAGAAUCAUGAAUCAAUCGAAAGAAUUAGAAGGCUUAAUGUUAACAUUCCGUUUGGCUGGGGUACUAGAUUCCUUGGGUCGUGUAAUGUCUUGAUCUCUUGUUAUUCAAGUAAAAAUAUUUGGAUUUGUAACCCCAUCAACAGAGAGUAUAUUCGGCUUCCAGAAAUUAAGAGAGUUUGAAUGGGUGUUUGGGGGAGCGGAUUUGGUUAUGUUUCUUCAACCAAUGAGUAUAAAGUUGUACGAAUAAUCUUCGAGACCGAGACCGAGACGGAGUUUAUGUUUGAGAACGAUACAGAGUUUAUGGAAGUUCAUGCAUACACUCUAGGGAGUGGAAAAGGAUGGAGAAACCUUGGAAAUUUCAAUCUUGGAACCAGAGAAUAUUUGGGAGCAGUGGACAUGUCAAUGAAGCUGAAUGUUCGGACGUGUGGCUAUUGAGAAACAAGGAUGAUAAUCAUGGCAUGAUACAGCAAGUGGGACAUCAGUCAAUAGGUUGGAGUGAAGUGUUUAGGCUUUUUGACAUUGAAAUUUUUGCAGUAAUAAAGAGUUACUCUGUCUUGACUUACAAAGGUAAUCAUAUCAACAUUCACGACCCAAAAGCUUCAACCUCGGAAACAAUUGUGGUGUUUGAAGAAAAUAUUGGUGUUGUAUUCCCUCACAAGAACACCUUUGUUUCGUUGAAAGAAUUAGGAGAAGAAGAUACGAAGAGAAUGGAGUCAGUUGAAAUUGAGGAGACAGAAGGCCAUGCUCAGCCUUUCAACCAGCUGUAGGAGGAUGGGACCCUGGAUACCUACUUAUAAUCUGGUCGCUGAUCCAAUUAAGAGUGACAAAGACAAACUGUUGGAGCAAAGAAUAAUAACACUGAUGACAUACUUCUUCUGGUACAAUAUGGAUCUUAGCCUAAGCAAUAUGCUAUGAGAUGUUGGUUCCAGACUUACCUCAUUGGUGACUGACGCCAGCGUGUGCUUGCACUUGUAAUGGUUACCGACGCACGUAACCCACUUUUCUACUGGUGCCCUGAUCUUGAGGUAUAUGUAUUUCGUGGUUUGAUAAAUAUAUGCAUUUAAUUUUCAAUCCCACCCAGUACCUUGCACAUGCAUUCCAGUGUUUAAAAAUGAACCAGUUUUUAUCAUGAUAAAUUAGAGUUAAUUGGACAACAGUUAUCAGUUUCGGCAGGAAAUGUCUAAAUGGGAGGGUUCAGUUCUGUAUAUUAAAAUAGGAAAUGGUAGUAUUUCUUGUUAAUAGGAACUAAUAUUGUAGUCCACUUUUUUGCUAGUUCAGCUGAACCCCUGGAGCUUGUCGUCUUUAUACAUCCAUUAGCUCGUUUAUGAAAACUGUUGAAAUUCGUACUGUCAUUUCCAAGAUGCCGAUGAUUACAAGUCCAAAUUAGGAAAAUAAAAGUGGGACCAGAAAAAGAGUAUGGGAAGCUCAAGGAAGAGCAACCUACUCCAGAGAUACAUCAUCUGGGAUCAACUCAACUGGGCUAAGGCUAGCACCAAGAGGAUCCCUUAACAGAGUAUUAAAGUCAUUACAGUUAUCCUGAAGAAGUAAGUUUGGACUGAACUGUAGAGCUUGCCAAAAUAAGUGCAAAUUGGGACCUUUCCAGUUUAGGUUGUGUAAUAAAGUAGAGGUACUGGUAAUCCUGGCUAGUUUAGCAGCAUUGUUGAGAUGAUGGGAAUCUAUCUUUAUGAGUCUUCCCAAGACAAAGUCUAUGGCUUCAAAAUUCCUAACUUUAGUUCUGUAGUUUCCUUGAAAUCUUUGUUAUAGUGCAAGAUUGUAGCC